GUUCCAUCGUUCUAUCUCUCUGUUGAUGUAUAUUAUGUUUUCAAUUUCAAACAAUAGCUAAUGAUUCUAUGAUGAUUCUUCGACUGCCUUGCUGCUCCUCCGAAGAUCUCCAAUCUCUUCCAGGUUAGUAAACGACAAAAGGAAAAAGAAUCAGAGAUGUAGAGAUGUGUUGUUGAUCUACAAUAUCAGAGUGGAAUCAAAAUCCUCAUCUUCAUCUUCAUCUUCCGACUUGAUACAGAGCCGGUGUGGGAUCUGAGUUUGUUCUUCAUCUAGGGUUUUGAUGAUGAGAGCAAUUGUGUGAUGAGCUUGCCUUGCUCUCAAGAAAUCGGGUUUCGCCGCAAGCGGAGAGACAACUGCUUUGUUGUUGUUUAGACUCAACCAGAAGAGAACCGUCAUUGGAGCUGUGACAGUGGCGUACGAAUGGGGAUUCAAGUCAGCGAUGGUGGUUGUGGCUUUGAGUAGAGUUUCGACUAUUCAUCAGCAAGUUAUUAAAGAAUUUUCAUGGUCAUUUUGUUUGGUGAGAUGUGCAAGUUAUAAGAUGUGCAAGUAUUAGGAAAUGCCACAAAGAUUUCGAAGGAACAAUUUCAUUGCAAUGUGGAUGUGUGCAAUAGUUUUGUACUUUGUUAGAUUAAAGAGCGAUGGGUGAUGCUUCUGAGCUUUAAGGGACGGAACUACAGGGGGUCAGCUGACCCUCCGGCCGGC
rnacentral:lncRNA from 1 species